GACGAACGCUGGCGGCGUGCUUAACACAUGCAAGUCGUACGGUAAGGCCCUUUCGGGGGUACACGAGUGGCGAACGGGUGAGUAACACGUGAGUAACCUGCCCACAACUUUGGGAUAACGCUAGGAAACUGGUGCUAAUACUGGAUAUGUGCUCCUGCUGCAUGGUGGGGGUUGGAAAGCUCCGGCGGUUGUGGAUGGACUCGCGGCCUAUCAGCUUGUUGGUGGGGUAGUGGCCUACCAAGGCGGCGACGGGUAGCCGGCCUGAGAGGGUGACCGGCCACAGUGGGACUGAGAUACGGCCCAGACUCCUACGGGAGGCAGCAGUGGGGAAUAUUGCACAAUGGGCGCAAGCCUGAUGCAGCAACGCCGCGGGCGGGAGGACGGCCUUCGGGUUGUAAACCGCUUUCAGCAGGGACGAAGCUUUUUGUGACGGUACCUGCAGAAGAAGCACCGGCUAACUACGUG
rnacentral:rRNA from 1 species